rnacentral:rRNA from 1 species
UACGGGGGGGGCAAGCGUUGUUCGGAAUUACUGGGCGUAAGGGCUCGUAGGCGGCCAACUAAGUCAGACGUGAAAUCCCUCGGCUUAACCGGGGAACUGCAUCUGAUACUGGAUGGCUUGAGUUCGGGAGAGGGAUGCGGAAUUCCAGGUGUAGCGGUGAAAUGCGUAGAUAUCUGGAGGAACACCGGUGGCGAAGGCGGCAUCCUGGACCGGCACUGACGCUGAGGAGCGAAAGCCAGGGGAGCAAACGGG